GGGUUGUGAGGUUAAGCGACUAAGCGUACACGGUGGAUGCCCUGGCAGUCAGAGGCGAUGAAGGACGUGCUAAUCUGCGAAAAGCGUCGGUAAGGUGAUAUGAACCGUUAUAGCCGGCGAUGUCCGAAUGGGGAAACCCAGUGCAAUUCGUUGCACUAUCGUUAACUGAAUACAUAGGUUAACGAGGCGAACCGGGGGAACUGAAACAUCUAAGUACCCCGAGGAAAAGAAAUCAACCGAGAUUCCCCCAGUAGCGGCGAGCGAACGGGGAGCAGCCCGGAGUCUGAAUCAGCUUGUGUGUUAGUGGAAGCGUCUGGAAAGUCGCAGGGUACAGGGUGAUACUCCCGUACACUAAAA
rnacentral:rRNA from 1 species